CAUCGGUAUACCUAAAGGUCUCAAUUCCUUGUCAGUACGAGCGGACAGAAGGGAGCUUGCUCCCGGAUGUUAGCGGCGGACGGGUGAGUAACACGUGGGUAACCUGCCUGUAAGACUGGGAUAACUCCGGGAAACCGGAGCUAAUACCGGAUAGUUCCUUGAACCGCAUGGUUCAAGGAUGAAAGACGGUUUCGGCUGUCACUUACAGAUGGACCCGCGGCGCAUUAGCUAGUUGGUGAGGUAACGGCUCACCAAGGCGACGAUGCGUAGCCGACCUGAGAGGGUGAUCGGCCACACUGGGACUGAGACACGGCCCAGACUCCUACGGGAGGCAGCAGUAGGGAAUCUUCCGCAAUGGACGAAAGUCUGACGGAGCAACGCCGCGUGAGUGAUGAAGGUUUUCGGAUCGUAAAGCUCUGUUGUUAGGGAAGAACAAGUGCAAGAGUAACUGCUUGCACCUUGACGGUACCUAACCAGAAAGCCACGGCUAACUACGUGCCAGCAGCCGCGGUAAUACGUAGGUGGCAAGCGUUGUCCGGAAUUAUUGGGCGUAAAGGGCUCGCAGGCGGUUUCUUAAGUCUGAUGUGAAAGCCCCCGGCUCAACCGGGGAGGGUCAUUGGAAACUGGGAAACUUGAGUGCAGAAGAGGAGAGUGGAAUUCCACGUGUAGCGGUGAAAUGCGUAGAGAUGUGGAGGAACACCAGUGGCGAAGGCGACUCUCUGGUCUGUAACUGACGCUGAGGAGCGAAAGCGUGGGGAGCGAAAAGGAUUAGAUACCCUGGACUCCACGCCCGUAAAACGAUGAAAAG
rnacentral:rRNA from 1 species